rnacentral:rRNA from 1 species
AUGGUUCAUGGAACUACAAACUAUUAUAGACAAUUACACAUGUUUGCCCAGAUGAGGGUUCAUUUUACUCAUCGCCUCCAAAUCAAUGCUGAGUCGUGUCCAUUGUUGAUUCAGAUAACAUCUACUCUAGUGGUACAGAUGAAACUGGGUGGAUCAUCGUCCCUCGCCGCGUGCGUUGAGCUGGGAGAAGACCUGGCUGUCGGCGAGCUCGGUCAUGCUCAGGCCCGCCUCGUCCGCGUCGUCCAUCAUCAGCAGGCUCGUGGACGACGGCACCCACCGCGGCACGACCACGUCGGCGGGGAGCUGCGUGGCGACGGCGCCGCUGUCCUCGAAGGCGUCCCUGUUGACGUGCGUCUCCUGCAGCUGGAGGCAGUACUCGAGGUUCCAGAGCACGUCGCCCAUGGACGGCCGGUCCGCGCCGUAGUCAGCCAGGCACCUCUCCGCCGUCUCGGCGAACUUGCGCAGCGAGUUGUCGUUGACCUCGCCGGCGAUCCUGGCGUCGGCGAUCUUGUCGAGCUUCCCCUCCCCGUGCAUCCUGACGGCCCACUCGGCGAUGUUGAUCUGGUCGCGGUCGAGGCUCUGGUCGAUGACGGGGCGCGCGCAGAGCACCUCGAAGAGCACCACGCCGAAGGAGUAGACGUCGGAGCGGUCCGUGAGCUGCUGCGUCUUGAAGUACUCCGGGUCCAGGUACCCGAAGCUGCCCUUCACCGCCGUGCUGACGUGCGUCUCCCCCAGCGAUGGCCCGAUGCGCGACAGCCCGAAGUCGGCCACCUUGGCGAUGAUGGCGCCGCCGCCGGUGCUGCCGCCGUCGUCGGUGCCGAGGAGGAUGUUGGUGGACUUGACGUCGCGGUGGAUGAUGUUCUCCGAGUAGCCGCAGUGCAGGUAGUGCAGGCCCCUGGCGGCGCCGAUGCAGAUCUCGAGCCGCUGCUUCCACGAGAGCGGCGGCUCGUCGUCGGAGCCGCCGUACAGGUGGCUCCGCAGCGUGCCCUUCUCCAUGUACUCGUACACCAGGAUCAUCUCUGCCUGCUCGUUGCAGUAGCCGAUGAGCGACACGAGGUGGCGGUGCCGGAUGCCGGACAGCACCACGAUCUCCGUGUGGAACUCCGGCAGGCCCUGCUUGGAGGCGCGCAUGGCGCGCUUCACCGCCACGGGCGUGCCGUCGGCGAGCGCGCCCUUGUACACGUUGCCGAACCCGCCGACGCCGAUGAGGUUGCGGUCGUGGAAGUUGUCCGUGGCGGCCUUGAGCUCCGCCAGCGAGAUGUGCAGCUUGGUGCUCACCCUCUGCAUCCUGGCGGUGGUGCCCUCGCUGGACCGGUUCGUCGACUCGUCGGCCCAGCCGGAGAUGCCUUCCUGCGUGUACGGUGA